rnacentral:rRNA from 1 species
UAGAGUUUGAUCCUGGCUCAGAACGAACGCUGGCGGCGUGGAUAAGACAUGCAAGUCGAACGAGAGAAUUGCUAGCUUGCUAAUAAUUCUCUAGUGGCGCACGGGUGAGUAACACGUGAGUAACCUGCCCCCGAGAGCGGGAUAGCCCUGGGAAACUGGGAUUAAUACCGCAUAGUAUCGAAAGAUUAAAGCAGCAAUGCGCUUGGGGAUGGGCUCGCGGCCUAUUAGUUAGUUGGUGAGGUAACGGCUCACCAAGGCGAUGACGGGUAGCCGGUCUGAGAGGAUGUCCGGCCACACUGGAACUGAGACACGGACCAGACACCUACGGGUGGCAGCAGUCGAGAAUCAUUCACAAUGGGGGAAACCCUGAUGGUGCGACGCCGCGUGGGGGAAUGAAGGUCUUCGGAUUGUAAACCCCUGUCAUGUGGGAGCAAAUUAAAAAGAUAGUACCACAAGAGGAAGAGACGGCUAACUCUGUGCCAGCAGCCGCGGUAAUACAGAGGUCUCAAGCGUUGUUCGGAAUCACUGGGCGUAAAGCGUGCGUAGGCUGUUUCGUAAGUCGUGUGUGAAAGGCGCGGGCUCAACCCGCGGACGGCACAUGAUACUGCGAGACUAGAGUAAUGGAGGGGGAACCGGAAUUCUCGGUGUAGCAGUGAAAUGCGUAGAUAUCGAGAGGAACACUCGUGGCGAAGGCGGGUUCCUGGACAUUAACUGACGCUGAGGCACGAAGGCCAGGGGAGCGAAAGGGAUUAGAUACCCCUGUAGUCCUGGCAGUAAACGGUGCACGCUUGGUGUGCGGGGAAUCGACCCCCUGCGUGCCGGAGCUAACGCGUUAAGCGUGCCGCCUGGGGAGUACGGUCGCAAGAUUAAAACUCAAAGAAAUUGACGGGGACCCGCACAAGCGGUGGAGUAUGUGGCUUAAUUCGAUGCAACGCGAAGAACCUUACCUGGGCUUGACAUGUAAUGAACAACAUGUGAAAGCAUGCGACUCUUCGGAGGCGUUACACAGGUGCUGCAUGGCCGUCGUCAGCUCGUGUCGUGAGAUGUUUGGUUAAGUCCAGCAACGAGCGCAACCCCUGUUGCCAGUUACCAGCACGUGAAGGUGGGGACUCUGGCGAGACUGCCCAGAUCAACUGGGAGGAAGGUGGGGACGACGUCAGGUCAGUAUGGCCCUUAUGCCCAGGGCUGCACACGUACUACAAUGCCCAGUACAGAGGGGGCCGAAGCCGCGAGGCGGAGGAAAUCCUAAAAACUGGGCCCAGUUCGGACUGUAGGCUGCAACCCGCCUACACGAAGCCGGAAUCGCUAGUAAUGGCGCAUCAGCUACGGCGCCGUGAAUACGUUCCCGGGUCUUGUACUCACCGCCCGUCA